CUAAUCUAUAUUCUGUGUUAUGAUUUUUCAAGGACUAUCUAAAAUUUGGAAUACAAAGAAUCUUCAAUCGGAUAGACAGAGCCAAUCCCCAGUUUCAUGUUCAGGAAAAAACCUCUUGCACGUCUUUGAUUGGUAAAGAAUCAGUAAAAACACUCUCGGUUAUGCGGGAAUGAACUUAACUCACCUUCCUUUGAAGCUUUUCAUCGUCUAUAUAAGAUCAAACCGAGAUCAAAAUCUUUAGCUCAGGAGUGGGAUGGAAUGAGUUAAGAAAUUGGAUUGAUUGUAGAAGGCAUGAAGUAUUAGUAUGGAGAAACAGAGGGACAUGAGACAAAAGUGAUUUAUAGAAAAGCUCAGACAGAGACAUGGGGAAGGAGAUAGAGAUAAGAAUCAGUUGUAACAUCACAAA